GCGGAGCAGAGCCCCGGCUGUGUCCGGCUGUUGCGGGAGGGCUCCGCACAACGGGAGCGGUUGGGGGGUUGUUGAGCACAAUUCCAGGAUUCCGGGAAAAGGGAGUCUGGAUGCGAAGAGGGAUGGAAGAAACAGGGAUUUCCUCAGGAGUAACUCAAGCGUUGGAUCACGAGGGUGACAACGGGUGUUUUGGGGUCCCACCAAAGGCACCUCUUCCCUCCACGGCUGGUUUUGGGGGGGUUGAGGCUCCGGUGCCGCGUUACUGACACCGGUGUCCCCGCGGGGCCUCACCAGGACGCAGACAUCGGGGCGGUCGCGGGCGAUGACGCCCCGUUGGGGGGACUCCAUCGUCACCUCGUAGAGUUUGGAGACCACCAUCCUCCUCCCGGUGCUGUUGGUCCCCUCCAGCGCCACCACCUGCAGGCAGGGGAGCAA